CUACGGGAGGCUCCAGUGGGGAAUAUUGCACAAUGGGCGCAAGCCUGAUGCAGCCAUGCCGCGUGUAUGAAGAAGGCCUUCGGGUUGUAAAGUACUUUCAGCGGGGAGGAAGGGAGUAAAGUUAAUACCUUUGCUCAUUGACGUUACCCGCAGAAGAAGCACCGGCUAACUCCGUGCCAGCAGCCGCGGUAAUACGGAGUGUGCAAGCGUUAAUCGGAAUUACUGGGCGUAAAGCGCACGCAGGCGGUUUGUUAAGUCAGAUGUGAAAUCCCCGGGCUCAACCUUGGAACUGCAUCUGAUACUGGCAAGCUUGAGUCUCGUAGAGGGGGGUAGAAUUCCAGGUGUAGCGGUGAAAUGCGUAGAGAUCUGGAGGAAUACCGGUGGCGAAGGCGGCCCCCUGGACGAAGACUGACGCUCAGGUGCGAAAGCGUGGGGAGCAAACAGGAUUAGAUACCCCUGUAGUC
rnacentral:rRNA from 1 species